GUUGGUUGUCGUCAGCUCGUGUCGUGAGAUUGGUUUGGGUUUAAGUCCCCGCAACGAGCGCAACCCUCGACUUUAGUUGCCAGCAUUCAGUUGGCACUCUAAGGUGACUGCCGGCUAAAGUCGGAGGAAGGUGGGAUGACGUCAAAUCAUCAUGCCCCUUAUGACCUGGGCUACACACGUGCUACAAUGGGCGGUACAAAGGGUCGCGAACCCGCGAGGAGGAGCCAAUCCCAAAAAGCCGCUCUCAGUUCGGAUUGCAGGCUGCAACUCGCCUGCAUGAAGCCGGAAUCGCUAGUAAUCGCGGAUCAGCAUGCCGCGGUGAAUACGUUCCCGGGCCUU
rnacentral:rRNA from 1 species